UACGAAGGGGGCUAGCGUUGUUCGGAAUUACUGGGCGUAAAGCGCGUGUAGGCGGCUUUGCAAGUCGGGUGUGAAAGCCCUCAGCUCAACUGAGGAAGUGCGCCCGAAACUGCAGAGCUUGAGUGCCGGAGAGGGUGGCGGAAUUCCCCAAGUAGAGGUGAAAUUCGUAGAUAUGGGGGAGGAACACCGGUGGCGAAGGCGGCCACCUGGACGGCAACUGACGCUGAGACGCGAAAGCGUGGGGAGCAAACAGG
rnacentral:rRNA from 1 species